rnacentral:lncRNA from 1 species
CUUUUGUGCUCCAGCUCUUUCUCUUCCUCCUUCUUCAUCUUCUGCUUCGUCUUCUGUCUUCUUCCUCUGUAAAGUUGCCAUUAUGGUCAUCAUCAUUUUCAUGACCCUCAUUGACAGCCAUUGAUCUUGUAUGCUCAGUGUUCUACUAAAAAUUUUACAUACAAGACCUUAUUUAAAUCUCACAACUAUUAUGUAGGUCAAAUUGGAGCUCAGAUGUUGAGAUUAAUAGUGCACUUAUAUAGACACAUACAUGCAACAUGAUUCUACUGACAUGCCAUCAGUGCUGCCCAACAAAACUUUCUAAAAAUGCCCUGUAUAGAAAGAGAAUUUCUUUCAUAGAAAAAUAUCAUUGAAAGACCCAUUAAAGUCCUCUUCUUUCACACAGUGAAAUGAGAAUUCUUGUUCAAGCUGGUAUACAUCUCCCUGUUUUGAACAUCCUUUCUCAUAAAUAGGUGGAUCUCUAUAGAGUAGAGACUGUGAUCUAAACUACCAUAUACCCCUUGGUACCAAGAGGAGGGCUUUCUCAUGGCAGGUGCUCAAUGCAUACUAGCUGAGUAGACCAGUAGGCUUUGCACAAUUGCCGAAUAUAAUCAUCAUGCAAUAGCAGGUUUAAUAAUAAUGAGUCUUUUCAAAGCUUUUCUUCACAGUUUUUCCAUCAUCUGGAGGAAUAUUUAUGUUUCUUUACCACAGUAUAUAUCAAUAAUUUCUCUUAAAUGUGGAUCAAAAAUUCUCCUCUCAAGCAAACUUUUCCUUUAUAAAGUUUUUAUUAAUAUAAUCUUUGUUCUGUGUUCAAAAUUUUGUUUCAUACUUUUUUCAUUUUUAUUUCUGUCUACUUUGCUUAUCAACAAUACUGCAAUUUUUGUGAAAAAUUCUAUUCUCUUGGAAAAUACCAUUUUCUAAGGUACUCUACAUGCUCGCCAAAUUUACGAAAAGUUAUUUCUUUAUAAUCUUUAUUCUUAGCAACAGCAGAAGAAUAGAUAAUACACAGCCUUGAAAAAUAUAAAUGUUAUUGCUCAUGAGAAAUUUGAAUCUCUUUACAAAGAACAUGAAAUACUGUAUGUCUUUCAUCCUUAUGAUAUGAAUAGCUUUAUUUGUUGGCCUACUUUAUUAUUAUUAUUAUUAUGACAAACUUGAAUUGAGGAUCUAUUUGCUAUAUGCAAAGAGUAGUGUUUUUCUGUGGAAUAAUUACAAUAAAAGACAAAUGAGGCCCAGAACUUGUCCUAUAGGAAAUCACGUGCUCUCUUGUGAAAUAUAAAAGUAGCACAGGGAUUAGCAGAAGCACAAAAACAAACAAACCAAAAACUCCAAUGAGUGCCAAAAAAGAUGUUGCUUAUUUAACAUGUUAUAUGUGUUUUGGGAGUAGAAAACCACAUUAAGCAGUUUCAUGUAGGAGACACAAUUUUUUUUGUGGGACUUGGAAAGAUUUCUAAAGUCAUAUCAAUUCUGGUAAUGCUUUUUAAAAUAAUAAGAUGAAGAAAGUCAAGUACUGAAUAAUUUUUUUCUAUUAAAUCUGUAUUUUGAUAGCCACACAACUUUUGUCUAUGGCUUUUAAUAACUCUGUAUAUAUUUAAACUGUUUUUUAUAAUAUGUUUUAUGUUCUAGAAUUAUUUUAUAUGUAUAACCAAUAUAUGAUAAGUAAGUUUGUAAGUAUUCUAAGGGCUGGAACUAUACUAUAUACCUCUUUUAAGCUCCUAGUAAUACCAAGUAGAAGGCUAAGCACUUAAGCAUUUUUUCUCAGUGUGAAUUUGAAACCACCUCCAUUAGGAAGAUCUAACAUACUUGGUGUACAACUAUAAAUGUAAUAAAUUCAUUGGGUAAUAAAAAUUAAUUAAUUAAUUAAAUAAAAAAGAACCCCAAGUGAUUCUUAGAGAACAUUAAGGCUUUUUAGUCAGUACAAUGGGUGCUAAGUACACACUGACUGAGGCAACACUUGAACUUUCAAAGCUGUUCUCCAAUUGGCAUGUAUUUCAAACCAAGCAUUUGCAAGAGCAUUUCUAUUCUAAAGGAUUUGCAAAAUUAUGCUGGAAAGGGUGCCUCAAAAUUUAAACUAAAUACUUCCAUUUGCAACAACUUGGAUGAACCUAGAGAUCAUCAUACUAAAUGGAGUAAAUCAGACAGAGAAAGACAAAUAGCACUUAUAUGUGGAAUUUAAUUUUAAAAAGAUACAAAAGAACUUAUUUACAAACCAGAAACAAACUCAUAGAUUUCAAACUCAAAUUCACAGUUACCAAAGGGUAAACUGUGUGGGAAGGGGUAAAUUAGGACGAUGGGAUUAGCAUAUGCACACUACCAUAUAUAAAAUAGAUAAUUAACAAGGACCUAUGGAAUAGCACAGUGAAAUAUACUCAAUAUUCUGUAAUAACCUACUUGGGAAAAAUUAGAGGUCUAUGUAUAACUGAUUCAAUGCUGCACAUUUGAAACUAAUACAGCAUUGUAAGUCCAUUAUACUCCAAUAUUUUUUUAAAUAAAUAAAUAAACUAAAUACUUUAGGCAAAGAUGCUAGGGUGAAGAGGAAAAAGGGAAGACUGUAAAUCAAGAAAAAAAGUGUGUUGUAUGUGUUAUACUACAACAUGCAAUUUGUUCCCUUAUCCUUUUCCCCUACCCCAGCCCAGAAUACAGUUUGAGGAAUAUAGAUGAAUUCAUAAAACCCUAAGAAUUUUCGUUAACACUUUUCAGUUUGGAGAGAUGUGAACUAAGGAAUAAAUAUGCAGCCUCAGAAAGGUCAGGACAAAUAUUUCCACUCUCAAAAAACUAAAAUACCUCAUUAGGACCUCAGCAUAGCUGGAGAAAAACAAGAAACGUUUCCCAAGACCCUGCACAAUAUUAGGCCAUGUGUGGCGGGGAAGAGGAUGAGCCAAAAGCAAGCACAAAGGGGCACGCUCUUGAGUGGGCGGAACUUACUGCAUGAGGAGGUUGAUUCUGUCGAGAAGACAGAAUCUAAGUCCCUAGUCGGCCCCAGUGCACAUCUUCAUCAAAUGUAUAUGCCCCAGGUCAGAAAAUGGAUAGAAAUAAUUCUCAGAUCUCAAACAGGAAUUAGAGUUAGGGAAAAAAAGUCAUUCUUUAAAAUAAGUCCUACUUAAAAAUACAUUUAUUAUAUAUUACAUAAAAGCAAAAGUCUGGAUAAAGCUGCCCUUAUUAAGCAUAAGCAAGAAAUGGCAUGAUAGAUUUAGUGCAUUAUAGUUCGAGCAAAAGAAGACGUGGUAGGGCUGGAAGAAAUGAAGGAAGGAAGAAGAGAGAAGAAGAGAAGAGACAAAACAGGCAAACAAAUUCCUAUUCUGGGAUUAAAAGCAAAGAACAGAAAUAAUUUAUCCACCUAAGCUCCAAACUCUGAAAGAGCUUAAUAGGAAUAUAAAUUUAAUAAGAUGGUAUUAAAAGAUAAGAAAAAACAACUGAAGAUAAAAAGAGAGAUUGCAAAGCCCAGAGGAAAAACCGAACUAAAAUCUGUGUGUAUCUAAACUGAUUAAAAUAGUGGGUAUUCCUGGGACUACUUCAGAAGCUUUAAAAAAAAAAAAUCAACAUUUUGAUUGCCUCAGUAUUUACUGAUUUAAUAGUUCUGGGGUGCAAUUCUGGACCUUGAGAUUUUUAUAAUCUUUAUAAGUGAUUCUAAUGUGCAGACAGGAUUUCGAAUUAUUGACUUAGGAACAUCAAAAUAUGAUGUAUGGAAACUGAAAUAAUAGAAAUAAGAGUUUAAAAUUCAAGUAAAUGAAGAGGAAAGCCAAAGAACUAAAACAACCAUAAAGUAUAUCAUAGAAACAGAGGACAAACAGGCUGUAACAUAGGCAUAACGGAUAUCCUUGAAGUAAGUGUUAAAAGAGAGAAGAAAGCAAUAAUCAAAAGAAUAAUAAAUGAAUAUUUCAGGAACUCUAGAAAAAAAGUGAAUCUGAAACAUCAAAAAUACACAUUAUACCAGAAAAAGUUUAUAUUGAACAGUCAGCAUGAAGAAAUUUAUGAAGUAAAUUACUCGACUUUUAAGGAUUAAGAAGUAAAUAAAUUUUAGACAUGCUUGCAGAGAAAACAAGUCAUUCAAACAGAAUGGGAUGAGGGUCGGGGAGAAGAACUGGGCUAACAGAGUUCAGCACAGCAUUGCAGGUGAAAAGUGUGAUGCAGUAAUAGCCAAAUAAAUUAGCAGGACCAGCAACAAUUAGGUUUUCUCAAAUGCAAAAAGAAAUCAAAUACAGUGAAACACAAUGGACACCUGUCUGAAGGGAGUUCCCAUCAUGGCUCAUUGAAAACAAAUCUGACUAGCACCCAUGAAGACUCAGACUCCAUCCCUGGCCUCACUCAAUGGGUUAGGGAUCAGGUGUUGCCCUGAGUUGUGGUGCAGGUCACACAUGUGGCUUGGAUCCCACAUUGCUGUGGCUAUGAUGUAGGCCAGCAGCUGUAGCUCUAAUUCAACCCCUAUCCUGGGAACUCCAUAUGCCAUGGCUGCAGCCCUAUAAAGACAGAAGGAAGGAGGAAGGAAGGAAGGAAGGAAGGAAGGAAGGAAGGAAGGAAGGAAGGAAGGAAGAAAGAAAGAAAGAAAGAAAGAAAAGGAAGGAAGGAAAGAAAAGAAAAAGAGAAAGGAAGAAAGGAAGCGAGCAAGAAAGCUAAGACUGAAGGAAGUGUGGGUAUAGAAAAAUAUGUUUCAUUUCUAUUUUAUCAAUAAAAAUCAUGAGGCAAAGGCAAUAUAACAUCUCAUUACUUACAGUUUCCAGACACCUGAGUAUUCUGUUCACUUUACUCCAAAUACAUUUUUUCCUAUACUUUCUAGAGGAGGGGCUGACAAACUUAUUUUGUAAAAGGUCAGAGAGUAAACAUUUUAGGGUUAGUGGUCCUUAAACAGUUUUCACCAAAAAUCCAAUCUGCUGUUGUGACCCAAAGCAGCUAGAACAUCCAUGCAGCUAUGUUAAAAUACAACUUUACUUAUGGGCACUGAUAUCUGUAUUUACACACUUUUUGUGUGUCAUAGUCAUUAUUAAUUUUUGUCAAUCAUUUAAAAAUGAUAAAACCAUUGUUAG